rnacentral:misc_RNA from 1 species
GAUGAAGAACGUAGUGAAAUGCGAUAAGUAAUGUGAAUUGCAGAAUUCAGUGAAUCAUCGAAUCUUUGAACGCACAUUGCGCCCCUUGGUAUUCCGAGGGGCAUGCCUGUUCGAGCGUCAUAUUAACCACUCCCGCUUGCGGGGUCUUGGGCUUCGCCUCCGGGCGGGCCUUAAAAUCAGUGGCGGUGCCGUCGGGCUCUACGCGUAGUAAAUUUUCUCGCGAUAGGGUCCCGGUGGAUGCUUGCCAACAACCCCCAACUUCUUAAGGUUGACCUCGGAUCAGGUAGGGAUACCCGCUGAACUUAAGCAUAUCAAUAAGCGGAGGA